rnacentral:lncRNA from 1 species
UUUAGUUAUUGUAAAAACACGGGUUUAGAAAAUACAACUUGGUUCGGGGGCAUUCCUACCAUAAUUGAAAUUUGUACAAAUCUUUCAAAAAUUCUACUAUCAUUGCAGAAAAAAACAGCAGUGAGUAGUAAAUUUGUUAAAUUCACUAAAAAUCCAACUUUCACCCAUUGCCUUUCAAAAUUCAUGUAAUUAAACAAGACUCUUCCAGCUUUCCAGAAAACUAAAUUUCAGACUAUUACCAUAUCACAUGUAAAAGUUAUGAGGUUAGGAACACAGCCCUGCCUUAUACAAAUCUGUUUUCAAAAUCCAGCAAACAACUCACACUUUUUGCAACAUAUCUAAUUGGUUAA